rnacentral:rRNA from 1 species
UACAGAGGGGGCAAGCGUUGUUCGGAAUUACUGGGCGUAAAGCGCGCGUAGGCGGCUUUGUAAGUUAGAGGUGAAAGCCCGGGGCUCAACCCCGGAAUUGCCUUUAAGACUGCAUCGCUAGAAUCCAGGAGAGGUGAGUGGAAUUCCGAGUGUAGAGGUGAAAUUCGUAGAUAUUCGGAAGAACACCAGUGGCGAAGGCGGCUCACUGGACUGGUAUUGACGCUGAGGUGCGAAAGCGUGGGGAGCAAACAGG